CCACGCCACAACGACGGCAUGUGUUCGGGAGCGCAUAAAUAAUAAAAAAUUAAUAUUAUGUAAAGUGUAAACCGGUGCUACACACUGCUGCCGUUUUGACUUUAAUUGUAUAGUGACAUGGGAUCCGAUCAUUCGCACACUCUGUGUUUUUGCACGGUGCCAAUGUGUUGCAACCGAACGAAUCGCGUCUAAUCACGUCCAUGUGCCAGUCGUCUGGCUCCAGGAACGAAAAACCGUUUCGGAAUAGUUUGGCGCCAUCGAGUUUCGCAGUGAUGUCGCUCUGGCCCGCAAUAUUUGUACUGUAUUUAUUUCGCCGUCAUUCGAUACAGUCAACCUCUACUUUACACUUCUCUCCCUCUCACUCUCUCU